rnacentral:rRNA from 1 species
AGCCUACGGGGGGCAGCAGUGGGGAAUAUUGCACAAUGGGGGAAACCCUGAUGCAGCGACGCCGCGUGAGUGAAGAAGUAAUUCGUUAUGUAAAGCUCUAUCAGCAGGGAAGAAAAUGACGGUACCUGAGUAAGAAGCCCCGGCUAACUACGUGCCAGCAGCCGCGGUAAUACGUAUGGAGCAAGCGUUAUCCGGAUUUACUGGGUGUAAAGGGAGCGCAGGCGGCUUUGCAAGUCUGAUGUGAAAGGCCAGGGCUCAACCCUGGGACUGCAUUGGAAACUGUAAAGCUAGAGUGCCGGAGAGGU